CGCUAAGCCACCACGAAGGAUAUGCUUCACCGCCGGUCCCAUCAUCUGAUCCUUGAAUCUAUCAGCGUAUUGAUAGAUUCAUAGCAGGUACCAAGAACAGACCGAACUGGGAGAUGGCGGCGGCGUCCAGACCCUUGAAUCUAUCGUCUACAAGUUCCCGUCUUUCCUCUUCUUUCCUAUCUCCUAAUCUCAGAAAUCUCAAUCCCUCCAACCUCACUUUCCUUUUGCCUCGUUCUGCACCCAAGACGGUCUCUCUCAGUGUCAAAGCAACAUCCUUAUCGUCGCCGACCACCCACAAAACAGCCACCUCCACACCCCAGUCGGAGUCUCCCGAUCGCUUCCGUGUGGAGAUUCUGUCGGAAUCCCUUCCCUACAUCCAGAAAUUCAGGGGUAAAACCAUCGUCGUCAAGUAUGGCGGCGCUGCUAUGAAGGUUCCUGAGCUUAAGGCUUCGGUGGUCAGUGACCUCGUCCUCCUUUCUUGUGUUGGCCUUCGUCCUGUUCUUGUCCAUGGAGGAGGGCCUGAGAUCAACCACUGGCUCCAACUCCUCAACAUCCAACCUCUCUUCCACGAGGGCCUCCGAGUCACUGAUGCUAAGACCAUGGAGAUCGUGUCCAUGGUCUUGGUGGGUAAGGUUAACAAGGACUUAGUCUCUCUCAUUAACAAAGCUGGUGCUACCGCCGUUGGGCUCUCCGGUAUGGACGGUCGCCUCCUCAUGGCUCGACCCAACCCCAAUUCUGCCCACUUGGGUUUUGUCGGGGAAGUCACCCGUGUUGAUUCCACCAUACUCCAGCCCCUCGUCGAUAAUGGUCACAUCCCUGUGAUUGCCUCUGUGGCGGCUGAUGAGUCUGGCCAAUCAUACAAUAUCAAUGCCGACACGGUGGCUGGGGAAUUGGCGGCGGCUUUGGGGGCUGAGAAGCUUAUUCUGUUGACGGAUGUGGCGGGCAUACUGGAAAAUCGAGAUGACCCAAAGAGUUUGGUGAAGGAGAUUGAUAUAAAGGGAGUGAAGAGGAUGAUAGCAGAAAAGAAGGUUGCUGGUGGAAUGAUUCCUAAGGUCAAUUGUUGUGUACGGUCACUUGCUCAAGGUGUGAGAACUGCUAGUAUCAUUGAUGGAAGGGUUCAGCACUCUUUGCUUCACGAAAUUAUGUCAGAGGAAGGCAUUGGAACCAUGAUUACUGGGUAAAAUGUAGUCACUCAGUUCUGUUGUAAUCUCUUCAUUGUUGUUAUUGGAUGUACUUUCACUUAGAUGAAUGAAUUACUGAUUAUUCUCUAUUAUUGUUAAACUCACUGAUUAUUCUCUAUUAUUGUUAAACUCUUCCAUUGGUGAUGUGGUUUAUGUUGUUUUGAUGGUUUUGAUUUGAUGGUCAUCCAAUGAUAUCAUGAGAAUUUAUUCCUAACUAGGAACCAGCAUUACUUUGGCAUCUUUUAUUUAUUUAUUGACAUCGCACCUGUUUUUUAUUGGAUGGGAGGGGUUUGGGGUAUUAAUUUCAGAGAAUCUGUGAGCUUUAGGCUACUGAAACGGGAUUGUAUUGGGUGUGUUCCUUGUGUUUUCUGCAGUGCAGUUUGUUAUUGUGGAGACUGCAAACCAGAUUUUGAUUGCCUUGCGAGAACCCUAGAACAUAAAAUUUUUUCAGAGUUUAUUUAAUAUUGGCAUGGCUGCUCUGAUAUCCUUUCUGUUGAUGGAAAGAAUUGCAGCAGGAUUCUGUGGUGGACUUGUGAAAAUAGAGGAUGUUGUAAUACAUGGAGUUGCUAUGGUCCGUGGAGAGAGAGCUCAAAGAAUCAUAAUCAAAGAUUGAGUAGUUUUGAAGUUCUCAAUAACUACUUUUAGUGCUUGUAAUAACAAUCUACAUAGAGCUUUGAAUUGAACCCAUAUGCAUCCAGAAGCCUUAAAGUCAAAAAAGAAAAGUCUAAGUCACCAUGUGAAAGGAUCAAAGGAAUAAUGCAAAGUCAGCUUUUCUCAAUAACAUGAUGAAGGCCUUUUGGUCAACAAAAAUGUUGUAUUAAUAAGAAUGAUUUCCUUGAUUGCUAUUCAAGACGCUCAAUUAAAACUCGAAAGUUCAAAUUCUAACUAGAGAGGCUGAUGGGUGUAGUUGGUGCUUCACUUUCCUUUCUUCUCUUGACCCUUGCCCUCUGGACAAAAGCAACCUCUACUCAGAUUUUAUUUCAGGGGUUCAAUUGGGAAUCAUGGAAAAAAGAAGGUGGAUGGUACAACUUUUUAAGAAACUCUAUUCCUGAAUUGGCUAGUUCCGGCAUUACACAUGUUUGGCUUCCUCCAUCUUCUCAUUCUGUUUCAGCUGAAGGAUAUCUACCUGGAAGGCUCUAUGAUCUCAAUGCAUCGCAGUAUGGAAACCAAGAUGACCUAAAAGCUUUAGUGAGGGCCUUGCACAAAAUGGGGAUUCAGUGCAUAGCAGACAUAGUUAUAAACCAUAGAUGUGCAGAGAAGCAAGAUGAUAGAGGAAUAUGGUCAAUAUUUGAAGGAGGGACUCCAGAUGAUCGACUUGACUGGGGGCCAUCUUUCAUUUGCAGCGAUGACACUCUUUACUCUGAUGGAAAAGGAAAUCCUGACACUGGAGCUGACUUCAAUGCUGCUCCAGAUAUUGAUCAUAUAAACCUGCGGGUACAAAG
rnacentral:misc_RNA from 1 species